AUUGAACGCUGGCGGCAGGCCUAACACAUGCAAGUCGAGCGGAAGAAGGGAGCUUGCUCCUGGAUUCAGCGGCGGACGGGUGAGUAAUGCCUAGGAAUCUGCCUGGUAGUGGGGGAUAACGUCCGGAAACGGGCGCUGAUACCGCAUACGUCCUGAGGGAGAAAGUGGGGGAGCUUCGGACCUCACGCUAUCAGGUGAGCCUAGGUCGGAUUAGCUAGUUGGUGGGGUGAUGGCCUACCAAGGCGAGGAUCCGUAACUGGUCUGAGAGGCUGAUCAGUCACACUGGAACUGAGACACCGUCCAGGCUCCUACGGGAGGCACCAGUGGGGAACGUUGGACAACGGUCGAAAGUCUUGUCCAGCCAGGCCGCGUGUGUGAAGAAGGCCUUCGGAUUGUAAAGCCCUUUUAGUUGUGAGGAAGGGCAGUAAGUUAAUACCUUGCUGUUUUGACGUUACCAACAGAAUAAGCACCGGCUAACUUCGUG
rnacentral:rRNA from 1 species